rnacentral:rRNA from 1 species
UCCUACGGGUGGCUGCAGUGAGGAAUAUUGCACAAUGGGCGAAAGCCUGAUGCAGCAACGCCGCGUGAGGGACGAAGGCCCUCGGGUCGUAAACCUCUUUUCUGGGGGAAGAGACAGGACGGUACCUCAGGAAUAAGUCUCGGCUAACUACGUGCCAGCAGCCGCGGUAAAACGUAGGAGGCGAGCGUUAUCCGGAUUUACUGGGCGUAAAGCGCACGCAGGCGGCUUCGUUAGUCGGAUGUGAAAGCUCCUGGCUUAACUGGGAGAGGCCAUUCGAUACUGCGGGGCUUGAGGUUGGGAGAGGGGUGUGGAAUUCCCGGUGUAGUGGUGGAAUGCGUAGAUAUCGGGAGGAACACCAGUGGCGAAGGCGGCACCCUGGCCCACACCUGACGCUGAUGUGCGAAAGCGUGGGUAGCAAACAGGAUUAGAUACCCCAGUAGUC